AUUGAACGCUGGCGGCAGGCCUUACACAUGCAAGUCGAACGGCAGCACGGGAGCAAUCCUGGUGGCGAGUGGCGAACGGGUGAGUAAUAUAUCGGAACGUGCCCAGUCGUGGGGGAUAACGCAGCGAAAGCUGUGCUAAUACCGCAUACGAUCUACGGAUGAAAGCGGGGGAUCGCAAGACCUCGCGCGAUUGGAGCGGCCGAUAUCAGAUUAGCUAGUUGGUGAGGUAAAGGCUCACCAAGGCGACGAUCUGUAGCUGGUCUGAGAGGACGACCAGCCACACUGGAACUGAGACACGGUCCAGACUCCUACGGGAGGCAGCAGUGGGGAAUUUUGGACAAUGGGCGAAAGCCUGAUCCAGCAAUGCCGCGUGCAGGAUGGAGGCCUUCGGGUUGUAAACUGCUUUUGUACGGAACGAAACGGUGAGCUCUAAUACAGUUUGCUAAUGACGGUACCGUAAGAAUAAGCACCGGCUAACUACGUGCCAGCCGCCGCCGUAA
rnacentral:rRNA from 1 species